rnacentral:rRNA from 1 species
AGUGAACGCUGGCGGUAGGCCUAACACAUGCCAGUCGAACGGCAGCACAGUAAGAGCUUGCUCUUACGGGUGGCGAGUGGCGGACGGGUGAGGAAUACAUCGGAAUCUACUUUUUCGUGGGGGAUAACGUGGGGAAACUUACGCUAAUACCGCAUACGACCUACGGGUGAAAGCAGGGGAUCUUCGGACCUUGCGCGAUUGAAUGAGCCGAUGUCGGAUUAGCUAGUUGGCGGGGUAAAGGCCCACCAAGGCGACGAUCCGUAGCUGGUCUGAGAGGAUGAUCAGCCACACUGGAACUGAGACACGGUCCAGACUCCUACGGGAGGCAGCAGUGGGGAAUAUUGGACAAUGGGCGCAAGCCUGAUCCAGCCAUACCGCGUUGGUGAAGAAGGCCUUCGGGUUGUAAAGCCCUUUUGUUGGGAAAGAAAAGCAGCAGGUUAAUACCCCGCUGUUCUGACGGUACCCAAAGAAUAAGCACCGGCUAACUUCGUG